GCACUGCUGAAGAGUCCGAAACAGGAUGAAACAGCUGUCCAAUGC
rnacentral:hammerhead_ribozyme from 1 species